rnacentral:siRNA from 1 species
GAGUAUGGCGUCUGCUAGAGAUA